GCUUGUUUAUUGUUGUGAUGGAUACAUCCAAGACAAUUAUUGUGGCUUCAUCAGUGGGGUGUAUUUUUGUUUCAUUCAAUGUCUGAUCUGAUUAUAAACAUAACCACAUGACGUAUUUAGAUGGGUGUAUUUAGUGGGGUGUAUUUAGACGGGUGUAUAAAAAAUGAUUUGAUCUUCUCUUCCUUGGUUUCCUGAUGCGCUCCUAUUCCACAACCACAGGGAUGGCACAUCGAUUGGGGACGAGCAGGAUGGGGCCAACAAGCCUAGGAGGAGGAGGAGCUCCAUCCGCAGCAGCUCAUGCUCAUGGAGGAACAAGUCUGAAUCGUUGUUGUUACUCUGCUGUCCUGGAGUCACCAUCCACAGCAGCCGUGGUGUGGCUGAGCCUCUGCUACGGCUACAACCUCCCUCUGGUGAGCUCCUCCCUAUUCCUUCUUCUCUGAUGUAGCUCCUACAUGGCCUUGGCCAUGAUUUGGGUUGGAUGUGGGGCUCUACUAGUUGCUGCUAGAUGUUGUAACCAAGCAUCAACUCCUACUGGAGCUCUCUGGUGAUAAAUUCAUGCGGUUCUAGGGUCUGUCAGUAGCUGCCCAUGUGUACUUGCUUUAUAUAUGUGCUCCUAUGAUGCUCUGGUGAUAUGGGGUGGCUAAUAUCAAGAUCAUGUUCGUGUUGAUGCUUAUCUUGCGUGUCUCUGGUGAUGGUGGUGUUGACAGCAGUUACACACCUAGCUUGUAACUAAUAUCAAUACUGCUAAUUUACCUCAAGUUUAUCUAAACAUGGUUGAAAUGAGCGCUGCAAAUUUUGAUGUCUAAAAUCAAUUUUUACCCCAAGCCCUUAAGUAAUUAUUUUCAUUACAUCAUAGUUAGUUGAGAAUAUUGACUUGAAUAUUUUAUGUAUGCCCUGAUGCAUGUACACAUACGGUUGAGCAAAUACCGAGCUGCAGUGGAACAACCUGGAGUUAGAGAACUUCAAGGAAAAGAUCAACGAGGUGACCGGCGUUAUGGCGGCUGUGUACGGUGGCGACCACAAGUUCUUCGGUGAGCUUGCAGUGUCCAUAUUGUGUCAUAUACGAUGUUGCUCCAUUGUGCAUCUCUCUUUUCUUGUGUGCUGCAUCAUUGUUGCUUGAUAGAGUAAAUGAUUUCAGUUCUGGUUGUGUUAAAUCUUUACUAUGUACCCUUAGUGUUUACUAAACUGAGGCAUUGCGCAUUGGAAUUUAGGCAUUUAUGUAUAAUUUUAGUUUUGGAUGUGUCCAAUGCAAACAUUAUUGUCAACUGUCAAGUUGAUUCUAAAAUGUCUCAUUAACUUCAUUAUUCUGUUAUUUAUUGUUAAAUAUGCUGUUAGAUUUACUUCUAUUUUGUUCCUAAACAUUUUGUUCUGUAACAUGCACAUGCUGGGCUUUCAUGUUUCUUUGUGAGCAUCAGGACAAAGAAGUCGAAGGAAGAAUAGUUCUAGCUCAUUGGAGCUAGUUCUGAGAGUAAUGAAGCCCUUUCUGCUGCUCCUAAUUGUAUGUGUGUUAUAUGAUGUAGCAGAAUCUGGCUCAUGUGAUUGUACACUUGUGGAGCUUGUUAUCUGAUUGUAAACUUGAUGCUGAUCACAUUUGUAUGUGUGUUAUAUGAUGUAACGCUAUGAUGGUUGAUAGUAUUUGAAGUAUUUCGUGUGUUCUGCGUGCCAAUUUAAAUUAUAGGUAUUUAUUUGCGUUAAAUUAAAAAAUUGAAGAAUAUUGCCUUGAUGGCUAGGACCCAGUACUAGAACCUGACAAUGGGGACCCACCUAACUAGUGAACCGACUUUAUAAAAAAAGGAAAAAAAUGAAACUGUUGAGAUAAAAAGGCCAUGGCCCAAAAAUAAAAAGGCUGCAAUGUUGGGCUUGGUCCAUGAAGCUGACAAAAAAUUCAUAGGAAAAAAUAUAUAAAUGGGCUAAAUUAAUGGGCUCGGCCCAAAUAAACACCGAAUUGGACCGGGCUGAUUCUUGUGCCAC
rnacentral:lncRNA from 1 species